CGGUAUGCUUACACAUGCAAGUCGAACGGAGUUUCUAAUAUUGACUUUCGGGAAUUUAUUUUAAACUUAGUGGCGAACGGGUGAAUAACACGUAAGAACCUACCUUUAAGAAGGGGAUAACAGUUAGAAAUGACUGCUAAUACCCUAUAUACCUACGGGUAAAAGAUUUAUCGCUUAAAGCAGGGCUUGCGUCUGAUUAGCUAGUUGGUUGGGUAAAGGCUAACCAAGGCAACGAUCAGUAGCUGGCUUGAGAGGGCGACCAGCCACACUGGGACUGAGACACGGCCCAGACUUCUACGGAAGGCAGCAGUGAGGAAUUUUCCGCAAUGGGCGAAAGCCUGACGGAGCAAUACCGCGUGGAGGAUGAAGGUUCAUGGAUUGUAAACUCCUUUUCUUAGACAAGAAAUCAAUGACGGUAUCUAAGGAAUAAGCAUCGG
rnacentral:rRNA from 1 species